rnacentral:misc_RNA from 1 species
UUGAGAAGUUGUUACGUUUCAGACCACCUUGCAAAACAGAGUCAAACUGGGCCUUCGGCACGCGCUCACCAGCCCGAGAGCCAGGUGGCCAAGGCCGUCCCGCCGCCCAGCGAGUCCCCAAAGGAACCCUCCGGCCGUCAGUCCGUUCCCCGGCGGCCCGCCGAAGCAACAUUUAAAAUAUACACAAAGGGUGGGAGAUCGACGCCUCGCGGCAUUCAUUCUCUGUAAUGAUCCUUCCGCAGGUUCACCUACGGAAA